GUUCCUGUAGUUAAACCAUUAACGGUGGUUUUUCAGGCCACAAUUCUCGGGUGGGAGCCGAGCAGGAACU
rnacentral:tRNA from 1 species